GCUCCUUUCAUUUACUUUGUAUGCUGUUGAAGCAAUGAAAUUAACACGCAACAACGAAUGAAAUUAUCCAAAGAAGGAACAAAAGAGUUACAAAGAAUGGAUUUUUUUUCCAAGGUGAUGAGGAAUGAACACCCUUUGCCUCUUCAAACAAGAAAAUUUUGAACAAUACAUGAUAAUAUCUUUUACAAAUUGAAGAAAUUCUGCACACCAAAUGUUAGCUUGCCAAUGCAACUCUUGAUGAACUACUAAUUGUUGCAGUAGCAGUAGUAUGCAAAUCUACAAAUUCACCAUCCAACCCAGCCGCCCAUCUUCGGAGAAUCCUCAAAAGAGUAGCCGCUUUUCUUCUUGACCUCAUUGUCCCUGAACUCAUCAUUUCCCAUAUAAUUCUCUCAAUUCCAGCAAUUGCUGCUAGUUCUCCCACCAUUUCCGAUCCUCCUUUUCGACAAAUCGUAACAAGAGUCGCCACUGCACUCUCUCUAGCCGCAUCCGAUCCUUCCCUUAAUAACAUUCCUAAUUUCCUAAUUGCAAUAUAAGCCGCAGCAAUUGCUACUACUCCACCUCUUUUCACCACCACUUCAAGAAUCGCCACCGCCUCCUCCGGCAGCACAUUCAUAACUUCCUUCACUAUCUCCACCACCCCUGCGUCCACUAACCUCCCAACCGUUUCUCUAUCUCCCGCCAAAUUCAAAAUCGCCAUCAAAGCGUCCUUUUUUGAACACUUGUUCCCACUUUUAGCUAAAUCCAUCAGUCCCUUUAUGACGCGUGUUUUCCUUCCCAGUCGCUUCCGAUAUGAGUGCACACCCGAUAAGCUGAAUAAGGCAGCCGCCGCAUUGGCCUUUGCCUCCCACGUGGCACCCGACCGCAGCACCUCAAUAACGCUGUUUAUAGCUCCGUCAGUUUCCAUUAUCCUUGUUUUGUUUGCCUCAAGGAUGGAGAGGUUGAGAAUAGUUGUUACGGCGUUGACUUGCAAGUUCGGAAGCUCCGAACCUACAUCUGAGCCUAGGUAACGUACAAGCAAAGGAAUAACUCCAGCUUCGGCCAUAGAGGCUCGGCUAUCCGAGUUUGUUUUUGCCAGAGAACGAAGCUCAUAAACGACGCCGUUAGCUGCUUCAAAUGACUGUGAAAGAGAAAGCUUGUUAACCAAAAAAGACACCGUCAUCUUCGCAGCCUCAAUCGCUGCCUUGUUUCGUACAGCGCCGUUAACUUUUUGGUUAUUUUCCGCAGUGUCGAAAGGAAAUUUCUGCUCCCGACACCACAUGCCAAUAAGAUUCUUCAAGGCAAGGUGAGGGAUAAGGUUGCUGUGCGCCAACGUCUGACCUGUCUUUGGACACGUGUUGUGUCCAGAUUCAAUCCAAAGGGUGAUUGACUCCCGAUCGUAUGUCUGGCCGGUGGCUAGUACGACAGGGUCCCGCAUCAAUUCCAGGCUAAUCGGACACCGAAAGUCGGACGGAAUAAUGGCCUCUGACACCACCUUUCUCCGCCGGUGAUCGGAUAUGGGCGUUGAUGCUCCAUAGAGGACACAUUUCGCGUAGCGGACGAGUCCGAUCAAAGCAACAACCUCAGAUUCGGAUUCCUCGUCGAUCUGAUUUUGUACUUCGUCUUCGAGACUCUCGAUCUCCUCUUUACAGCUGGAAGAAUUGCGUAGGCCUAAUUUAUCAAAUAUCUCAGCGAGCUUGGAAUGAUCAGGCACUAUCUCUUUCUUGAUUCGAUCAAGCAUCGUUAACACCUGGUGCCUUAGAUUAUAAUCACUUGGAUCCAAGAAUACUUUUGCUUGCAAGCAUUGUUUUCUGAUCAAAAUGAACAGUUCGUGAAUAUCCUCGCUCAAAUCAACCUGUUCUGCAGGGAAAAUAUCCAAGAGUGUUGAUAAUUCAAGGGUUAGCUCGUGAAAGCUGCAAGCCACAGAUUCGGUUUGGAUUAGAAGCCACAUCCUGCUUCCAUUUGAGCAAUCCUCUAUCAGAGUUUUUAUUCUUUGUAGAACUAUGUACAUUUCUUCAAAGCAGAGGAGAGUUGGAGACAGAAAAGGAAUUGGGUUUCGAAGAAGCUCAUCGAAUAGGAUGGCGAGGAGCUUGGCUUUGCGUAUAAUGGAAAGAGAAUUGCGUUUUAGAAGGAAUGGUAUAGGCUUGAAAGAAGAGAUUUCUUGGGAUAGAAUAAGGAGAGACUGGACAAGUUUAAGGUCAAAGAAGUUAGGAGCAAUAAACGCCCCUGCCGACGGCCGGCGUUUUCUUGGCGGGAAAAUUUGUGGAGUCACCGUCAUGAAUCAAUAAUAAGCCAAAUGCCUUCAGAAAUCAAACAAAGGUAAUGGGGGUAGUUUUCUAUUUUUCUGGGUUGGGAAUGGCGUUUUGAUUGAAGAGAAAAUUGGUAUGGGGUUGCAGAAGAAGCUGAAUCUUAAGAAAGGUAAGAAGAAGAAGAAGAAAAGUCGAGUUUUAUUUUGAUAUGAUUUUGAGGUGUAGAGGGAUUCAUUCAAAAGGCUGCAAUAUUAGCCCUUAGAGCGAGUCCACCAAACAGAGAAGGCUCUCCUUUGACAGCCGCCGGCGGGUGUAAGUGAAUAAACAUUUAAAAUUAUUAACAAAUAUAAUAUUUAUUCAACGCAUGAAUUGGUAUGCACCAAACGUAUAUAUAAAUAUAUAUUGCAAUUACAAACACUGUUGGUAGAGGUGGUUGUGGUUAUGGAUCUUCAUCCAUUUGCUAAUAAACAAUUCAUGCAUUAUUUGUGUUUCUCUCUAAUGGGUAUUUAAAAUAUACUUUUCUUUUGUUGUUUUCUUUUAUCCCUUUUGCUUUUUUCAAAGAUGAAUCUUCUAAUAGAGAUUAUUUCGCUUCAAUGAUUAG
rnacentral:misc_RNA from 1 species